CAUCUUGCUAUUUUAAUUUAAAAAUGAGGACGUGGGGAAGUGUUGUUUUGACAUGUAGUGAUUGUAAACAAAGAUAUUUGAUUGCAGUUGGGGCCUGCUUGAGAUGCAGUAUUCAUUAAUUAACCCAAAUUUAUCUGUAAAAUAGCUAAUCCAUGUAGCCACACCAUUGCACAUGAACUGUGGUCGGAUCAGAUCCAGUUCUGUUCUAUUGGAUCCUCUGAGCUGAUGCGUCGGUGCCUGGAUUAAUUAAUUAUUCUGGUUAUGCGGCUGAUCCCAUAAAGGCAGCGUGCACCACACACGCUGGGGAAAGAUUUGCAGAGAUGAUUGUUUAGCAGAGACUGUACAUAUGGAAAUUUGUUCUCAUUUCUUCCUUUGUGCUAUCCCAUUUACAAAUGGAAAUGACUGCUUCGUAGCCAGUUCUCAUUAUAUUUCUCUCCCAGGAGAUGUGAAAUUAGCACUAGGAGAAAUCCCAGGGUGGUUGGGAGCGAAGCGCAGUCUCUGCCAUCAAGGCUGCCCCACCAGGAGGGGAAGCAAGGAGUUAGGGAGGUUGGCAGGAUCCUGCCCUCUCCAAUGUCUUGGCCAGGGACAGAAGAAGAAGAGGAAACUAGUUGAAUGGUAUAGAGUUCAUGUACAUAAAUGGAUCCCUCCAGAGAGGGGUAGGUAUACGCUGGUUUGGAGCAAAAUGUGAAUAUUUGCGUUACUAACAGUCAUGUUGAAGAUUUGCUGCACCGCUUUUUAUUACACUGAGUAGCAGAGCCCAGGUGGGACAGAGGAUGUAACAGCCAUGCAUCAGAUCAUGCUCCUUGCUCAUUUUAGUGCUCCAGAGAAGCACAUGGAAAGAUUGUAUCUCAUUGCACUAAACUGCACUUCGUUAAAUAAGGCAAUUUAAACAUAGGUGAAAGCUUUCUGGUAAGGCAUGGUAAUUCUAUAACUUUGUUAUAGUUUUAAGUAAUGGAAAGGUUGUGAGGAUUUUUUUUUUUCCUUCUAGAAAAGGGAAUAUGCUGGUAAAGAUAUAACAAUUUUAAAAGAUGGGGUUUCAUGAGAUCUUUUAGUUGCAGACUUGUUUCUGUAUAUGUUUUGCUACGCCAGUGCAGCCAUCUUACCUGAAAGGAACAUUGUAAGUGAUCCCCUCCAGCAGCUGCUCAGGAAGCUUGCUUAAAACAGGGAAGCUAGGCUGUUAGAAGAUUUAAAACUUCCCAUGUACAUUACACUAAGCCAGCUACAAGGCAAAGAAGGGUUGUAUCCCUCAGUAUCAGCUUGAAUUGAUGGAAUGGUUUCGAUCUCCAUGACCACACUGGUAAGUUACUCAUUCAGAUUUGUGCUGAUCACACUUCCUCCCCUUGGGAGGCUGCUUACUGGCCUGAUACCAGAUCCCAGAAAAGCAGAGCAGGGCUUAGGAAAUAAGAUCCCUGCCCUUGGAAGCGCUGGCAGAUUUUCCAUGUUGAUACAGCUGCCUGGGUAUUUCUAAUCUGUGUUUUCUGACACAGGUGAUGAAUGGUUUACCACCUCUUGCUUCAGAUGACCUCUGUGCUUACACAGCUCACCCAGGUGGUCUUGAUGAUGGACUAACACAGAAUUGUUUCCCCAAUAAAAUGAAAAUGAAUGUACUCUUAUCCACAAACUAUCUAUAAUUGAACUAUUUUACUGAUAAAUCUUCUGUUUAGUUGCUAUGAUUCUAUAUCUGCAGCAGGGUCAGGUCAGUUUGUGCAGAUGAGAAGUGAAACAGUUGUUCUAUCAAAAAGUGAGGCAAUCCUGUAUGGGCCUUUUGCUCCAGAUAACUUGUGUGCAACAAUUCCAUUUCACGGCAUAUGCCACCAGUGGGAUGGAGAUUGUUUGUUGUCAGGGUUUUCUGCUGGCUCAUGGCCACCUCCAGGCACCACUGUCUUUCCAGGGCUGCGUCCCUAAAUCUGCAUCAGCCCUUUUCUUUACCCUUUGGUGACUCUGUGAAAACAAGACACAAGCAGAAUGGGAGUAACUUCAUACAGCCUGAGACCAGCAGUUUGAAAUGCCUUAGUCCUGCAUCGAUUGCUACAGCUCAGUAAACAGCUGCAAGAUUGCCUGGUUACCUUAUCUCUGCACUUCCAUCCCUCAAGAUAUUUGUAUUUCUGUUAAGUGAGAACUCAGCUCAAUGACCUCACUUGUAGUGUUAGCUUUACACUGAUAUAGCAAUUAUCAAAAUGCAGUGUUCAUGUAAAUUAACACUGUGCACUCAGCCCUUCUCUGACUGCAUUAAGCUCUAGUAGUUAAUAUAAUUUUUAUUCAUGGAGCAUUUCAGCUACAAGAGCUCUGCGAUAAGGAGUUGUCGUUUGUUUGUUGCUAAUGUAGCUGGUUGUAAAUACUUGUUAAAUUUGUCAUAAUGUCUGCUUUUUUCCUAAUAAUGCUGUGAAGACACAACACAGCACCAUGGAAUAGCUGCAAUGGUCUUGGAGUAUGAGUGGUUUUGAGGAUGAAAAGGAAAAAUGGCAGAUUAAGAAAUGGGUUGCAGGUAGGAAGGAGAUUGUGAAUAAUUAAUCUUUAAAUCAUUCUUCAUAUUUAAAAAUUAAUUAUUUUACGGUCAUUUAAGCGUCUUUUAUUUAUGACCACUUCAGGGUACCUUAGCCAGAAAUCACACUGAGGAAAAAAAUUAUAGUGCUUCACCCUUUUACCCAAAUAUUUGCUUGCUGGUGAUUGAUGGCACGUGUCUGAAUCCCUGGUUUAAAUCCUCUUCUUUUGUGAGUAUAGCCUUGAUUUCUCAAGAGCUCCCUGGCACUAAAAGGCAAGAGAAGGAAUUUCAUUGUAUGUGAAAAGCCUGACACACAAACCUAAAUCCAAGAACCCCAGCUAGACUGGUACAGAAAUCUUCCUGAAAUCUGAAGCUCUAGCAGAGGGGAAGUUCAUUCACCUUUCUGCUCAGCAUGUCUCUCUCUAUAUAACAUGGGCAUCUUCUGCUCAGUGAGAGGCAGAUGCUCACCUCAGGAUCCUGCCAGGCAACAGCAAUGUUCCCAGCUCUGGCUUUGGGAUGUUCAUGUUCUGGGGAGUUAACUCUUAAUUCUCCUGUUUCAUCUUAAAACUGUAACAAAAUGAGCUCCUGGUUCUGAUGUUUACAUUGGUAUAUAUAACAUUCAGCAGAUAAUUACAACUGAAAAAUGCCCUAAAAUCUUUGCAAUUCUCAUCUUUAUGUACUUGUUGAUACUAUAUUUAAGGAAAUUCUGUUGGGAAUACCUGAGUAGACAUUUAAUGAUAAAUAUAGUAUUGCCCUAAGCCAGAUAUAUUACUGAAAUGUUUGUUUUGCAGAACACUUCAUAGAGGUAGCUCUUUUGCCUUGCUUCUGGAUGAAGAUGGAUCUUUGUUUAUGAUAAUGCUUUUAGAAGCUUUUGUCUCUGUUCUAAAAAUAAAUGAGCAUUAAGAUUUCA